rnacentral:rRNA from 1 species
AUACGGAGGGUGCGAGCGUUAAUCGGAAUUACUGGGCGUAAAGCGUACGUAGGCGGUUGGUUAAGUUAGAUGUGAAAGCCCCGGGCUUAACCUGGGAACUGCAUUUAAAACUGGCGAACUAGAGUUGAGUAGAGGGGAGUGGAAUUUCAGGUGUAGCGGUGAAAUGCGUAGAGAUCUGAAGGAACACCAGUGGCGAAGGCAACUCCCUGGACUCGAACUGACGCUGAGGUACGAAAGCGUGGGUAGCAAACGGGAUUAGAAACCCGAGUAGUCC